rnacentral:rRNA from 1 species
GACGAACGCUGGCGGCGUGCUUAACACAUGCAAGUCGAACGGAAAGGCCCCCACCUUGGUGGGGGUGCUCGAGUGGCGAACGGGUGAGUAACACGUGGGUGAUCUGCCCUGUACUUCGGGAUAAGCUUGGGAAACUGGGUCUAAUACCGGAUAGGACCAUGGUUUAGUGUCUCAUGGUGGAAAAAUUAUUGUUUUGGUGCAGGAUGAGCUCGCGGCCUAUCAGCUUGUUGGUGGGGUAAUGGCCUACCAAGGCGUCGACGGGUAGCCGGCCUGAGAGGGUGGACGGCCACAUUGGGACUGAGAUACGGCCCAGACUCCUACGGGAGGCAGCAGUGGGGAAUAUUGCACAAUGGGCGCAAGCCUGAUGCAGCGACGCCGCGUGGGGGAUGACGGCCUUCGGGUUGUAAACUCCUUUCGUUAGGGACGAAGCCACACCUUUUUUGGGUGUGGUGACGGUACCUUCGUUAAGAAGCACCGGCUAACUACGUG